rnacentral:rRNA from 1 species
AUUGAACGCUGGCGGCAGGCCUAACACAUGCAAGUCGAACGAGUGGCGGACGGGUGUGUAAUGUCUGGGAAACUCCCCGAUGGAGGGGUAUAACUUUUGGACACUGUAUCUAACACCGCAUUCUCGCGGAUGCGCCCAGAUGGGAUUAGCUAGUAGGUGGGGUAACGGCUCACCUAGGCGACGAUCCCUAGCUGGUCUGAGAGGAUGACCAGCCACACUGGAACUGAGACACGGUCCAGACUCCUACGGGAGGCAGCAGUGGGGAAUAUUGCACAAUGGGCGCAAGCCUGAUGCAGCCAGGCCGCGUGUAUGAAGAAGGCCUUCGGGUUGUAAAGUACUUUCAGCGGGGAGGCGUUACUCGCAGAAGAAGCACCGGCUAACUCCGUGCCAGCAGCCGCGGUAAUUC